rnacentral:rRNA from 5 species
GGUUAAGUUACAAAGGGCGCACGGUGGAUGCCUUGGCACUAGGAGCCGAUGAAGGACGGAACUAAUACCGAUAUGCUUCGGGGAGCUAUAAGUAAGCUUUGAUCCGGAGAUUU